AUUGAACGCUGGCGGCAUGCCUUACACAUGCAAGUCGAACGGUAACAGGUCUUCGGAUGCUGACGAGUGGCGAACGGGUGAGUAAUACAUCGGAACGUGCCCGAUCGUGGGGGAUAACGAGGCGAAAGCUUUGCUAAUACCGCAUACGAUCUACGGAUGAAAGCGGGGGAUCUUCGGACCUCGCGCGGACGGAGCGGCCGAUGGCAGAUUAGGUAGUUGGUGGGAUAAAAGCUUACCAAGCCGACGAUCUGUAGCUGGUCUGAGAGGAUGAUCAGCCACACUGGGACUGAGACACGGCCCAGACUCCUACGGGAGGCAACAGUGGGGAAUUUUGGACAAUGGGCGAAAGCCUGAUCCAGCCAUGCCGCGUGCAGGAUGAAGGCCUUUGGGUUGUAAACUGCUUUUGUACGGAACGAAAAGCCUCUUUCUAAUAAAGAGGGGUCAUGACGGUACCGUAAGAAUAAGCACCGGCUAACUACGUG
rnacentral:rRNA from 1 species